rnacentral:rRNA from 1 species
CAGUAGCCGCGGGAAUACGGAGGGAGCUAGCGUUGUUCGGAAUUACUGGGCGUAAAGCGCGCGUAGGCGGUUACUCAAGUCAGAGGUGAAAGCCCGGUGCUCAACCCCGGAACUGCCUUUGAAACUAGGUGACUAGAAUCUUGGAGAGGUCAGUGGAAUUCCGAGUGUAGAGGUGAAAUUCGUAGAUAUUCGGAAGAACACCAGUGGCGAAGGCGACUGACUGGACAAGUAUUGACGCUGAGGUGCGAAAGCGUGGGGAGCAAACAGGAUUAGAUACCCCUGUAGUCCCUGUCUCUUAUAC